AUUGCAUCCUUAGCUCUCAAGGUUGUUGUGUAGCGGGUCCAAUGAAGCUCUUGUAGGGAAGAGAAGAUGUAAUCGGUACUUCUAGUAUGAGGUCAAUGGCUUUUAGAGGGAGCAUGAGUUGUUUGAGAGUUGAAUCCAACAGAAAUGGUAUAGUGAUGGAGUUAGGAACCACAGAGCAGAAGUUAAAUAAAACGAAAACAAAACAAGAUAUGGCAGCAAAAAGAAGAAGAGAAUUUUAUUCAAAUAUGCAAAAGGGUCUAGAUGGUUACAAG
rnacentral:misc_RNA from 1 species